CCUGCACAGAGAGAGAGAAAGUGUAGUAGAUUCAUUAUCAAGGUAGUCUGGCGUGACUAAAACAACAACAGGAGCUCUUAAGGCAUCAAAUGAAGUGCUUGAUGAACUGUCAACAAAGGUCUGAAACCUCACUAAGGCUCACCUGAUGACAGUAGGAGUGAUUUCAGCACAAAAGAAUAUACUGAGUGUGCUGACUGCAUGAGAGGAGAACAUGCCGAUGAUGGAGAAGGCCACCGAGAAUUUCCUGUUCAGAGUGUCUCGCAGAACUGCCCAGAGGAGGACAAGAAAACGCGUCAAAAUCAAUGACCGCCAGCUGAAAAUGAGAAGCUGCUUUUAUCUACUUGUGUCUGAAAUGGAAGACCCAUUGUUCCAAAAAUUCCAACAAAUUGAGUUCCUGGUGCUCAUCAUCUUGACAAUGCAGGUCCUCUGGGGUUUCUUGUGCAGCUCCUGCUCCAGCUCUGGUAGGAAACAUGAAACGCACACCUUGAGACCUUUCCUUUCAGAAAGUAAUGAGAGGCCGGCCGCUAAGGGACCUUUAGCACAGACAAGCUAAUGUGCUGUGGGGCCUUUAGAUAGAUAUAGCACAUCCCUUUGCCCAUUCUCAUCAUCUGUCCGUCUGUUUGGCCACUGGGAGAGGCAGAAACAAUGAAUCAAUCACCAAGACAGGGGGAGGAAGAGGUGUCAGUGGUAGAGAGAGGAGAGAUCUAGGUGAAGGAAAUCAACAUGUCAAUUCUUUAAGGACUGCAUGGUUGCAAGACAAUUAAUUAUCAACUUUUUUAAUAAUCCAUUAAUUGUUUAAGUCAUUUAUCAAUAGUUUAUAAUGAAUGAUUUGUUGGGUCUCUGUAAAUAAUAUUAUAAAGAGUACGGUCUAGACCUGCUCUAUAGGAAAAGUGCAAUGAGAUCACUUCUGUUAUGAAUUGGCGCUAAAUAGAUAAAACUGAAUUGAAUUUGAAUUGAAAUGAUGAAUCACAAAACAACUGACAGAUGAUAUGUGUUUGUGUGUUUGCAAUUGCAUUUCAUCAUAUAAGCAGUUGGGAAAUGCUGCUUGAAAACUACAACAUGUUUGCACACAUGAAACGGAAAUCUUUGACUCUUUGUAUGUGAGUCGGUGUCUUUGUGUUUGUUGCAUGUCCAUUUCAUCACACACCAAGAAGCAGCUGCAACAUAACAUUGAUGAUGAAUUAAAAUUGCAUUAUGAAGCGAAUGAAGCAAAAGAAAGUAUAAAUUCAUAGUGAGAUGGAUUUUGGAUCAUGUCCCUCCUGAAAUCGU